rnacentral:lncRNA from 1 species
AAAUAGUGAUGUUAUUUCCAAAAUCAAAGAAAUCUUCUUUCUGUUAUGUUAAGCAAUAUACCUAAAUCGUAUGAACUUUAUCCGUUAUUUAACAUUGUUGAUCAAUCAAACCAAAUUAUCUUUCAGUUUCCUAUAAACUGGGAAUUCUGUGGACCUUUUAAUUUGUAUUAGAGUAAGGGGUUGAAGCUUUUCUGUAAAGGAGAAUUCCAGUUUUUGUAGUAGCAUUAUAUAAUUUAUGUAUUUUUCUAAGUGGGGUUGGUGGUUAUUUUGAUAAUUUGACAAGUUGAAAGCACAAAGGGACCUCUGAAUUUUGUAGUAUUUCUUACGCUGCCGAACUCAUUGUUUUUUUCUUCCAGGAUGAUUUGGUGUCUAUCACAGUUGUAGAAGUAUGGACCACUUCUUCCUGAAUUACCUGAUAAAACGACGAUGCCCAUAGUGUAUGCACGGAUUGCAAAAAUAUUUUGAAGUUGAAAGGGAGACAAAGAACAAAGGGCGAUUAUUCAAAACAUGUAGUGGUAACUAUGGGUAUUUUGAUUGGGUCAUAAAUGAAGAAUCAAGCGGUGAUUCUAGCAUGACUAAUGAAGCAGUGAAUCCCGAAGUCAUCGAGGAAGCAUAAGAUUUGCCGACCAAGUUUGACAGUCUAGUUAGAAUAGUUGAAAAAAAAGACACUGAAAUUUCAUUAAACGUGACAUUCCGUAAGUGAAAGGAAAGUGCCGAGGUGAAUGGGAAUGGAAAAGGGAAGGGCCACGCCCCAUAGGUAGUAGGCAAAAUUGAUAUUUUCCAUCUAUGUUUUUGCUUGGCGUUUGCUAUCGAAAAACGUAUGUAAAAUAUGGUUUUGUAAUUAAAUGUUUGACUUAAUGUUUGGUAGAAAUAGUUCUUGUUGCCAUAUCAAUAUGUAUGAACCGAGGACACGACUAGUUGCAACUCUUUGAGACAUGAAACGUUUAUAAAAAAGAGACAAUCUCAACCUUAUGUCCAGAA